rnacentral:rRNA from 1 species
AGUGAACGCUGGCGGUAGGCCUAACACAUGCAAGUCGAACGGCAGCACAGUAAGAGCUUGCUCUUACGGGUGGCGAGUGGCGGUCGGGUGAGGAAUACAUCGGAAUCUACUUUUUCGUGGGGGAUAACGUAGGGAAACUUACGCUAAUACCGCAUACGACCUACGGGUGAAAGCAGGGGAUCUUCGGACCUUGCGCGAUUGAAUGAGCCGAUGUCGGAUUAGCUAGUUGGCGGGGUAAAGGCCCACCAAGGCGACGAUCCGUAGCUGGUCUGAGAGGAUGAUCAGCCACACUGGAACUGAGACACGGUCCAGACUCCUACGGGAGGCAGCAGUGGGGAAUGUUGGACAAUGGGCGCAAGCCUGAUCCAGCCAUACCGCGUGGGUGAAGAAGGCCUUCGGGUUGUAAAGCCCUUUUGUUGGGAAAGAAAAGCAGCAGGUUAAUACCCCGCUGUUCUGACGGUACCCAAAGAAUAAGCACCGGCUAACUUCGUG